CAUAAAUCCAUCGCUCCCAACCACCACCAUCUCCGUCGCUCGCACCAUCUCCACAAUCUUUAUUGCCGCCACCCCAACCAGCAUCACCUCCUCCUCCUGCACAAUCGAUUUCCUUUUGAUUCAGCUACAAAUCUUAAAUCUGGUGAUGAAUCAACGAGAAACUAAUCUCUAAAACCUAAUCUCAAACAUCAGAAACAUUAGGUUCGUUUCGAUUUCAACUGGAUUUGACUUGAAAAACCUAAAAUCAAUGAUAUCAGUGUUGGUUCUUAAAGAUUGUCUGCAUCGAUUGGGAAGAGAGAUGAUAAAAAUCUUCAUCAAUAACUGGAUCUAAAGAUUAGGUCAGCAAAAAUGAAUAAAAAGAUUGACGAAGAUUAAUCUAGUGAUUUUCAAUCCCUAAUUGACUUUAGGGAGUUUUGCUGGUAGUGUAUUCCGCUCAUUAAUAUUUUUCCUGUCAAAGCUUUAUCGUUGAUUAAAGCCUGUGGUUUUUUACUGGUUUAGCUCAGAUGAUAUUUUUGCUUCAUUUCGAGGUGGAGGUGGUGGUUGUGGUGAGAGUUUUGUUUCUAAAAAGUGUGCUACGACUUUGUGAACAAUUUAGAGGAUUUGUAUGAAGGGAUAGUAUGGAAAUGAAUAUCUCUAGGAAUGUUACUGAUUCAAGUGGUGGAAGAUCUCUAAUCGGAAUCACAGGAAGAACGUGAAUUGAUACACGUUAUACUCAAUGCUAAUGAAAGCAAUCGUCCAGAGGUGAUGUGGUUGGUGGAAUAUUCAGAGCAAAUAUUGUAGACAUUGAGGACCCUCUAACUGUAGAGGUGCUUAUAAAAGUUUCAUUGAGGACUAGGGCUGCACACGAGCCGGUACAGUCCGGUUUUCUGUUGGAACCGGUACCUGUACCUGGAGUUGACCGGUUCCUCAUUUUGAGGACCUGGACCUGGACUUGUACCUGGACUUGUACCUGUACCUGUAAAACCGGUCCGGUUCUAGACCGGUACCGGGUUUUUACCUGAAACUUUGAUAUAAAAAUAACAACACAAAAAAAAAGAAUUACAAAAUUA